AUUGAACGCUGGCGGCAUGCCUUACACAUGCAAGUCGGACGGCAGCGCGGGAGCAAUCCUGGCGGCGAGUGGCGAACGGGUGAGUAAUACAUCGGAACAUGUCCAGUAGUGGGGGAUAGCCCGGCGAAAGCCGGAUUAAUACCGCAUACGAUCUAUGGAUGAAAGCGGGGGAUCGCAAGACCUCGCGCUAUUGGGGUGGCCGAUGGCGGAUUAGCUAGUUGGUGGGGUAAAGGCCUACCAAGGCGACGAUCCGUAGCUGGUCUGAGAGGACGACCAGCCACACUGGGACUGAGACACGGCCCAGACUCCUACGGGAGGCAGCAGUGGGGAAUUUUGGACAAUGGGGGCAACCCUGAUCCAGCAAUGCCGCGUGUGUGAAGAAGGCCUUCGGGUUGUAAAGCACUUUUGUCCGGGAAGAAAUCCCCUGCCCCUAAUACGGCGGGGGGAAUGACGGUACCCGGAAA
rnacentral:rRNA from 1 species